ACUGGACGCCAAGGAGUUUUCGGUGGCUCAGCUGGGUAACCGGGGAUCACCAUGGCGGCCUCAUUGGUGGGGAAGAAGAUCGUGUUUGUAACGGGGAACGCCAAGAAGCUGGAGGAGAUGGUUGGAUUUCUCUGUCUUCCUGUGACCUGACUUUCUGUGUGUCUGUUUCCCUGAUAAGUGCCGGAGUACCAGGGGGAGCCGGAUGAGAUUUCCAUACAGAAAUGUCAGGAGGCAGUUCGCCAGGUACAGGGGCCCGUGCUGGUUGAGGACACCUGUCUGUGCUUCAAUGCCCUUGGAGGGCUCCCCGGCCCCUACAUAAAGUGGUUUCUGGAGAAGUUAAAGCCUGAAGGUCUCCACCAGCUCCUGGCCGGGUUCGAGGACAAGUCAGCCUAUGCGCUCUGCACGUUUGCACUCAGCACCGGGGACCCAAGCCAGCCCGUGCGCCUGUUCAGGGGCCGGACCUCGGUGCGUACCCACCUUGAUGCAGUUCCCGCCGCGCGCCGCCAGGGGGUGCCGCGACCUGAGCCGACCGACCCGAGUCUGCGGGAGGGUGGUGGGAAGGGCGCCUUGGGGCCAGAGAUAUCUGUGCCUUGCUGAGAGGCUCACCUGGGCAGCAUAGGUAGAAGUGCUGUCAAUCCUAGGAGGGUGGUGGAAAGGGUUCCCUGGGGCCAGAGUAGUUGCCUACGCCUUGCUGAGGGGUGCCCCUGGGCAGGACAAUGGAAGUGUUGUCAAUUCUGAAACCUGUUUGACCCCUGAGGCUGUUGUUUCAGGGAAACAGGUGGCUAACAGCUCCUGAGGCCUGAUAGACCCAGAAGUGCAAACUGAAGGUGACAAUUCCCAAAGCUAUUUUUUUCUAUUUAUUUUUUUAUUUAUUUUUUGUUAGUAAGAAACCACACUUGGAUCAAAGCUACAUCUAUAG
rnacentral:sRNA from 1 species